AAAGCAUUGAUCUAAUCCAGCUCAGCUGGGGCAGACAGGCUGGUCUAGAGACUGGCCCCCCCCAACAGCAAGCCCUCAGGCAACUUGUGGGCCCACAUAGGUGGGGUACCUGGAACCUCUGCAGCCAGGAUAAUUAUCAAGCUUGAUCAGUCUGCUUAGGCUCCUGUAUAUCAAGACAACAAUCCCAACAUUUCAGUGCUUGUAACAAGAAAUGAUUAUUUCUCUUCAUGCUGCAUGGUCAUCACAGUUAGGCUGAGUCUCUGCUCCACAUUAUUUUUAGAAAAGUACCAGGGCUGAAGGAACAGACCUCAUCUAGGACAACUCCAUCUUGAGGCAGAGGAGAAGAGAAGACGAAACGGUCUUAAGGAAGCAAUAAGAGAUGUGAAAAAACUGCACAUCAGGGAUGCUCAGCGUUUACUGAGAGAAAAACUGGACAGGCUGACAAUAGCUCACAUACUUCGAGCUCUUGCACUCGCUGUGCGAGAUACUUCUGUGCGCAGCCUGGCAGUGAGCAGCGCCCUGGGAUCCAAGGCCUGAAGGAUCCUGAAUGUUCCAUGCUGCCCAACAGGUUGUUGGUCAUACUGGCUAGAUUACAUGGGGCACUGACAGGGAGACUGAGCACUCUCGCGCGCAAUGAGUCACUACCAGAAGGAUGGUCCAUGGGGGCGUUGCCGCGCACCAUCUAUUGCUUAUCCUCAGCGCACAGUAAUGCAGAGGACAGGGGUCCCCGAGGCAACUCCACACAGAUGAGGAAAAUGAAGCUUAAGGAAGUCAAGACAAGUGUUUAGAGUCACACACUCUAUGAGGAAACUGAGAGAGAAGAGUAGGAGAAGAAAAUCAGCGUCUUUGACCCAAUAAAUCGCCAUCCUCUGAACAGAAUUGAGAAUGGACAUUAAUUCCUUAAAAGGUGUUCUCUCUCUUGCCCUCCAAAAAAAAUCAAUGCCUUAUAAAAAUGUGAUCUUUGGCCUCUGCACUGAGUGCAGAAUUUAACUAGCAUAGAAAAAAA
rnacentral:lncRNA from 1 species